GUUGCAAUGGUCAGAAUCUCACUGACUAUUGAUGAUUCCUAAGGUGAAUUCUGAGAAAGAAAGACUCCUGUUGACAUCCAAAUGAAAGAACAAAAAAGGGGCUUUCUCCAACCGGCUAAGAAAAAAAAGGCAAAAGUAACUGCAAUCUGAAUGCGACCCUUCAUAGGCUAGUUAAAUAUAUCUCGUAAACUUCGACAAAC
rnacentral:misc_RNA from 1 species